UCCGAUGUAGUGUAACGGCUANCACGCUUUCACCGUGGAGACCGGGGUUCGACUCCCCGUAUCGGAA
rnacentral:tRNA from 1 species